GAUCAUGGCUCAGGACGAACGCUGGCGGCGUGCUUAACACAUGCAAGUCGAACGAGAAUCACUGGAAGGAGUUUUCGGACAACGGAAGGUGAGGACAGUGGCGGACGGGUGAGUAACGCGUGAGGAACCUGCCUUUCAGAGGGGGACGAACAGUUGGAAACGACUGCUAAUACCGCAUGACACAUAGAGAUCGCAUGGUUUUUUAUGUCAAAGAUUUAUCGCUGAAAGAUGGCCUCGCGU
rnacentral:rRNA from 1 species